GGACAAGGUUACUAGCGGUGAGGACAAGGUUCCUGGCGGUGAGGACAAGGUUCCUUGUGUUGAGGACAAGGUUCUUGGCGGUGAGGACAAGGUUCCUGGCGGUGAGGACAAGGUUCCUGGCGGUGAGGGCAAGGUUCCUGGCGGUGAGGAGAAGGUUCCUGGCAGUGAGGACAAUGUUCGUGGCGGUGAGGACAAGGUUCCUGGCGGUGAGGACAAGGUUUCUGGCGCUGAGGACAAGGUUCCUGGCGCUGAGGACACGCACUCAAACUUGUAAGUUAUGAUGUAGUUUUUAACUGACAGGUAGAGAAAUGAGAGAACUUAAACCGUAGAUACUGUACCAUGCAUUAAACAUAGUCUUAAUAAAC